rnacentral:lncRNA from 1 species
GCCUGUUAUUUUGUUCAACUUCAUCAGUAAUCUGUUUUUUAAGUAACUUCAUAAUCUAAACAAAGGGAGAAUAUAUAUAUAUCUUUUCAUCUUCAUGGCCAAACUCUCUGUCAAGUCUGCAGAUAAUAAAUGUUCAAACAGUUUAAAGCGAAGGUCUAGCACUGAUGAACAAAUAGAGAUGUACAGAGCAGAAAAAAUUUCAGAGAGGUCAAAAAAGGUUCAUUUGAUUAUUUGUGCAAAAACUAAAUUGCCAUGUAACGAGGAAAAAAAAGUACACGUACUCUGGAUCAGGCCAUUUCUUCUUGCCACAAACAACAUAUAACUUGUGUUUUGCUUCUUCAAAGUCAUUUUCCCCGUUGAGAUCAUCAACGAAGAUGUUGAUCCCCUUAAAUUAUUGUAUGCGGCAACUUAUUAACAGCAGCCUUGCUGAAUGAAACUUUGCAUUUUCUUUUUGCUCAGAAGAAGCAGAGGAUAGUAACUCUCUCCUUUGACAUAUACAUUGGCAAUGUUUCUCUUUGCAUUUAGCUCGAUAUCUUAUGUCAGCAUGCUUUUCAGUCCCUUUGGCACAGCUCAAAGAGCAUUGCUAUGGGUUGUGGUUGUUGUUUUACCAUAUCCAGCAUAGCAAUCGGCUCUAGAAGUUUAAUCAAGGCCUAAAGAAAGAAGUAACAGAAAGAACGUGUGUGGGAGAGAUUUAUAAUUAAUCUUGCCAGC